CUAGUUACAGCCCAACUUCUCCCAGCUAUAGCCCAACAUCUCCAAGUUAUAGUCCAACCUCUCCAAGCUAUAGCCCCACAUCUCCCAGUUACAGCCCAACUUCACCAAGCUAUAGCCCUACAUCUCCAGUAUAUAGUCCCACUUCACCUGCAUAUAGUCCCACUUCGCCUGCAUACAGUCCUACCUCACCAUCAUACAGCCCAACUUCUCCUUCCUAUAGCCCAACGUCACCUUCCUAUAGCCCAACCUCGCCUUCUUACAGCCCCACAUCUCCAUCAUACAGUCCAACUUCACCUGCUUAUAGCCCGACAUCCCCUGGUUACAGUCCAACCUCACCAAGCUAUAGCCCAACAUCGCCAAGCUAUAGCCCGACCUCACCCAGUUACAAUCCUCAGUCAGCUAAAUACAGUCCGUCACUGGCAUACUCACCUAGCAGUCCAAGAUUGUCACCGUCGAGUCCUUACAGCCCCACGUCUCCAAAUUAU
rnacentral:lncRNA from 1 species